rnacentral:rRNA from 1 species
CUUUAAAGGCAGAAACCAUCUUGGAAGCUAAGCAGGGUCGGGCCUUGUUAGUACUUGGAUGGAGACCGCCUAGGAAGACCAGGUGCUAUAGGGG